rnacentral:rRNA from 1 species
GAUGAACGCUGGCGGUGUGCCUAAUACAUGCAAGUCGAGCGAACAGACGAGGAGCUUGCUCCUCUGACGUUAGCGGCGGACGGGUGAGUAACACGUGGAUAACCUACCUAUAAGACUGGGAUAACUUCGGGAAACCGGAGCUAAUACCGGAUAAUAUAUUGAACCGCAUGGUUCAAUAGUGAAAGACAGUUUUGCUGUCACUUAUAGAUGGAUCCGCGCCGCAUUAGCUAGUUGGUAAGGUAACGGCUUACCAAGGCAACGAUGCGUAGCCGACCUGAGAGGGUGAUCGGCCACACUGGAACUGAGACACGGUCCAGACUCCUACGGGAGGCAGCAGUAGGGAAUCUUCCGCAAUGGGCGAAAGCCUGACGGAGCAACGCCGCGUGAGUGAUGAAGGUCUUCGGAUCGUAAAACUCUGUUAUUAGGGAAGAACAAAUGUGUAAGUAACUAUGCACGUAUUGACGGUACCUAAUCAGAAAGCCACGGCUAACUACGUG